UGGGCGUAAGGGCUCGCAGGCGGUUUCUUAAGUCUGAUGUGAAAGCCCCCGGCUCUACCGGGGAGGGUCAUUGGAAACUGGGAAACUUGAGUGCACAAGAGGAGAGUGGAAUUCCACGUGUAGCGGUGAAAUGCGUAGAGAUGUGGAGGAACACCAGUGGCGAAGGCGACUCUCUGGUCUGUAACUGACGCUGAGGAGCGAAAGCGUGGGGAGCGAACAGGAUUAGAUACCCUGGUAGUCCACGCCGUAAACGAUGAGUGCUAAGUGUUAGGGGGUUUCCGCCCCUUAGUGCUGCAGCUAACGCAUUAAGCACUCCGCCUGGGGAGUACGGUCGCAAGACUGAAACUCAAAGGAAUUGACGGGGGCCCGCACAAGCGGUGGAGCAUGUGGUUUAAUUCGAAGCAACGCGAAGAACCUUACCAGGUCUUGACAUCCUCUGACGACCCUAGAGAUAGGGCUUUCCCUUCGGGGACAGAGUGACAGGUGGUGCAUGGUUGUCGUCAGCUCGUGUCGUGAGAUGUUGGGUUACGUCCCGCAACGAGCGCAACCCUUGAUC
rnacentral:rRNA from 1 species